UUCUCAAACCCACCCACGAGCCAUUUUUCAUCUUUCUCAAAUUUCUUUCACUCUUCUCAAUCUCAUCACUUUAUUCCCUCUCUUCUUUGACAACUGCCACCACCACCACCGGCAUACAUCACUUUCUUCCAUCCCGAUCGUCGUCUGUGCCCUAUCGUCGUCUUUCCAUCCCUAUCAUCGUCUGUGCCCUAUCAUUUGAAGCAACUUUAGAGUAGUUAAGAAGAAACUAUCAGAUGUUAUUAAUUAGAUCGACAUUCCUAUAUUGAGGUACAAGGUAUAAGUUUGGUUCUUGUAUGAUGACAUCUGAAAAGCUUGUGUGUUAACUGUUAACUGUUGUGAUUUUACUGAGCCAUACUCGUUAAUGGCACAUUGAUCUCCACCAUUAUGCAUGGUAUGACAGUUUCUACAACGGAAUGUUUAAGAAUUUUAAAAAGUGUAUUUUGUUUUUGUUUUCGUUUUUUUUUUUUUUUUUGCCCCCUUUUCUUCAGAUAUCAGCUUUAUGGAAUUUCUUUUGCUUUAAUGUUGGUGGAACAACAGCAAAGCAAAGUCGGGGAGAAAUCUUUGCUUUAAUGUAUAAGAACGUUAAAAAGUGUAUUUUGUUUUUUGCUUUAAUGUAUAUUCAAUUCAUCCGUCCCCUGCAACCUUUGCAGUAAAUUUGGUUAAAAAUUUUCUUAAUUCUAUUUUUAAUGGUAACAAGGAUGAUGAACUGCAAGCUCACAUUAAGGGUGGAAAUGGGGACUUAUUAACUACUGUCCACAUAGACAUAUUAAUAUUUAUUUAUCGCGAGUCAUGUAGCCAUGAACCAAUUAGUAUAUAUCGAAUUAUGCACCUGAAAAAUCCAGAAACAAAAGGCGAAGGGAAAAAUAGUAGUUGAUGGUCAAACUAGACACAGUAAUGGUGGAACAGUAGCUAAUGGUGAGAAGGUGAGUUCUCCUUUUGUAUCAGAAUCAGUUAUGGGACCAGGAUACAGUUGUCUAUCUAUUAUUUUGUUACUUCUUUUCAAUAUAAAGUUUGACGUUUAAUUUCUUGCAGGAAGAUGGCAUCAAUGUUGGAUUAGCCUUGUUGCUUCUGAAGAUGCAAUUAUUGAUUCUCUUUCAGAGAAGGCAGAAAAAGAAAUUGUUUUUGGUAAUUCAAGAGGGAAGAACUUAAUAGGACACUGUGCACUGUUUCUUUCCAAGCUUUGCAGAAAUUUUAACUUGAUACAUAAGGGGGUUUGAAUUUAGUUCUCCUGAUUACCACUAUUUACUAAGUAGAAUAGAAGAGAGGUUAUUAGGAAAGAAAAAGGUUUCAUCGAUGCUUGUGUUGCUAGAGUACGUUACUAACCCAUUUAAGUAUGUUACCAACCCAUUUCCAUUUUGUCUUUCUUAACUAUUUCUAUCUUUUUCAGUUCUUCGUCAUCAUCAGUUCCAGAUUCUCGGAGGCCCAUAUCAUUAUUUCUGUUUAUAUGAUUCUCCAAAUUCUUAUUAAUGGGCUAGACUUUUAGUGUUUUUCAUCACAAUUUUGAUUUGAUAAGAGGCCUAGGUAUGGUUGCUUUUAAGCCCAUUGUCAAGUUCACACACACACCAACUAUUUGUAGAAAUGUCAGAUAUUUUUCUUUUCCUUAUUUGUGGAAACUACAUAUUAAAAUAUUUGAAUUUAACAUUCUGAGCUUAGUAGCUUGAAGUUUUUUUUCUUUUUCUCUUUUUUUUUUUUUUUUUGAUUUAGUAGCUUGGAGUUUUUUUGUAACAAUUUAAUGUGUAUUAUUCCGUGUUUAUAUUACAUUAAUAUGUAGUUUUCUAUUUGUCUAGCUUGAGAUGCUAAUUCUUCAUGUGAUUUAUGCCUUCUCUCUUUUGUAGGCAUUUUUCUCCUCCACGUGCAUUAUGAACUUACCUACUUUCCAUUUUGCUUCUUUACUAUAACACCAUCUUUCAACACUAAAAACAACUCAAGCGAAGACAUAGAAGCUUUACUUAGUUCUUAAGACUGUAAACUCAUAAUCAUUGGUUUUCAAAUAAUUUACCAAAUUGCUUGACAAACACUCUGCUGGUGGAGAUUAAAAUAUCCUGAAUCCUUGCCACUUACGAUGGUCAUUAUGGAAGAAUGUCUUGUUGUAUAUCUGAGACAGCAAGCAGAUCUUUGAAUCACUUAUGCUGAACUUUAUAUUUAUAGUGUGUGGUUGAUAUUUAGAUAUUAUCAAUUAAACAUAACUGUUGUAGGUGGAUUACAUUGGCAAACGUGUUUUAUCAAAGUUGAUGAAUGAAUGGAGAUUGAUGGAUGAGCUUGCAGUCUUAUGUGCUAUUUAUUUGCUAGGAUCAGGGAUCUGCGGUAGCACUUUGACUAUAUUUUUCAAUAAACUGGACAAGGGAGAAACGUGGGAGGAUGAUUUUGAGUUGAAUACUAUAUUACAAGUGCACUCUUGUCUUUAUUUUUGCAAAUAUCAUUAUUUAUACUUUAAAAAAUUUUCACCCUCCAGUUAUGGGCCAUCUUGUUUGCAUAAUCUAAAACUACCAAAUAGCAUUAUCAUGGUUAUGAUAAGUAAUAGUUAAUGGUUAUUUGAAA